ensembl:lncRNA
GUCUGGUGUCUGUCCGGUGUCUGUCUGGUGUCUGUCUGGUGUCUGUCUGUCCGGUGUCUGUCUGGUGUCUGUCCGGUGUCUGUCUGUCUGGUGUCUGUCUGGUGUCUGUCCGGUGUCUGUCUGGUGUCUGUCUGGUGUCUGUCUGUCCGGUGUCUGUCUGGUGUCUGUCCGGUGUCUGGCUGGUGUCUGUCCGGUGUCUGUCUGGUGUCUGUCCGGUGUCUGUCUGGUGUCUGUCUGGUGUCUGUCUGUCCGGUGUCUGUCUGGUGUCUGUCCGGUGUCUGUCUGUCUGGUGUCUGUCUGGUGUCUGUCCGGUGUCUGUCUGGUGUCUGUCUGGUGUCUGUCUGUCUGUCUGGUGUCUGUCUGGUGUCUGUCUGUCUGUGUCUGUCCGGUGUCUGUCUGGUGUCAGUCCGGUGUCUGUCCGGUGUCUGUCUGGUGUCUGUGUGUCUGUCUGUCUGUCUGUCUGGUGUCUGUCCGGUGUCUGUCUGGUGUCUGUCCGGUGUCUGUCUGGUGUCUGUCUAGUGUCUGUCUGGUGUUCGUCUGGUGUCUGUCUGGUGUCUGUCUGGUGUCUGUCUAGUGUCUGUCUGGUGUUCGUCUGGUGUCUGUCCGAUGUCUUUCCAGUGUCUGUCUGUCUGGUGUCUGUCUGGUGUCUGUCUAGUGUCUGUCUGGUUUCUGUCUGUCCGUUGUCUUUCCGGUGUCUGUCUGUCUGGUGUCUUUGUGGUGUCUGUCUGGUGUCUGUCUGGUUUCUGUCUGGUGUCUGUCUGGUGUCUGUCUGGUGCCUGUCUGGCCCCCCUCUCUCAGAGUGUGCCUGUUCCCUCCUCGCCCCCCUGUUCACACCACACACCUGUCCAGGUGUAGAGGUCCCUCCUACCUCCUGCUGCUCUCCUGGCGCUGGGAGGUGGGAGACCUGAGGCAGCUGACGGACGGGAGGCUCGUUAAGACACCGGCAGGAAGGCUGCAUGCCAUUAGUGGCUUGCUCAGGAAUUCUUUAUUCAUUUAUAGUUUUACAUUUUUCUUUUUGGGAC